AGUGAACGCUGGCGGCGUGCCUAAUACAUGCAAGUCGAACGGAGUGGCGCACGGGUGAGUAAUGUAUAGCUAAUCUGCCCUACACUAGAGGACAACAGUUGGAAACGACUGCUAAUACUCUAUAGUGUAGGAUGAGGCUAUAUUGUAUCAGCUAGUUGGUGAGGUAAUGGCUCACCAAGGCUAUGACGCAUAACUGGUCUGAGAGGAUUAUCAGUCACACAGGAACUGAGAACCAGACCAGACGCCUACGGGAGGCAGCACUAGUGAAGUGUGCUCAAUGGGGGAAGCCCUGAAGCAGCAGCGCCGCGUGGAGGAUGACACUUUUCGGAGCGUAACCACCUUUUGUUAGGGAAGCGGUACCUAACGAAUAAGCACCGGCUAACUCCGUGCCAGCAGCCGCGGUAAUUC
rnacentral:rRNA from 1 species